UACGUAGGGUCCGAGCGUUGUCCGGAUUUAUUGGGCGUAAAGAGCUCGUAGGCGGCUCGUCGCGUCGACCGUGAAAACCCGCAGCUUAACUGCGGGCUUGCGGUUGAUACGGGCGGGCUAGAGUUCGGUAGGGGAGACUGGAAUUCCUGGUGUAGCGGUGAAAUGCGCAGAUAUCAGGAGGAACACCGGUGGCGAAGGCGGGUCUCUGGGCCGAUACUGACGCUGAGGAGCGAAAGCGUGGGGAGCGAACAGG
rnacentral:rRNA from 1 species